rnacentral:rRNA from 1 species
AUUGAACGCUGGCGGCAUGCCUUACACAUGCAAGUCGAACGGCAGCACGGGAGCAAUCCUGGUGGCGAGUGGCGAGCGGGUGAGUAAUAUAUCGGAACGUGCCCAGUCGUGGGGGAUAACGUAGCGAAAGCUACGCUAAUACCGCAUACGAUCUAUGGAUGAAAGCGGGGGAUCGCAAGACCUCGCGCGAUUGGAGCGGCCGAUAUCAGAUUAGGUAGUUGGUGAGGUAAAGGCUCACCAAGCCGACGAUCUGUAGCUGGUCUGAGAGGACGACCAGCCACACUGGGACUGAGACACGGCCCAGACUCCUACGGGAGGCAGCAGUGGGGAAUUUUGGACAAUGGGCGCAAGCCUGAUCCAGCAAUGCCGCGUGCAGGAUGAAGGCCUUCGGGUUGUAAACUGCUUUUGUACGGAACGAAACGGUGAGCUCUAAUACAGUUUGCUAAUGACGGUACCGUAAGAAUAAGCACCGGCUAACUACGUGCCAGCAGCCGCGGUAA